rnacentral:rRNA from 1 species
ACGCGAACGCUGGCGGCAGGCCUAACACGAUGCAAGUCGAACGGACCUUCGGGGUUAGUGGCGGACGGGUGAGUAACACGUGGGAACGUGCCUUUAGGUCGGAAUAGCUCCUGGGAAACGGGUGGUAAUGCCGAAUGUGCCCUUAGGGGGAAAGCGGGGGACCGUAAGGCCUCGCGCAAUUAGAGCGGCCGAUACCUGAUUAGCUAGUUGGUGAGGUAAAGGCUCACCAAGGCAACGAUCAGUAGCUGGUCUGAGAGGACGAUCAGCCACACUGGGACUGAGACACGGCCCAGACUCCUACGGGAGGCAGCAGUGGGGAAUUUUGGACAAUGGGGGCAACCCUGAUCCAGCAAUGCCGCGUGAGUGAAGAAGGCCUUCGGGUUGUAAAGCUCUUUUGUCAGGGAAGAAACAGCAGCUCUAACACAGUCUGCGAAUGACGGUACCUGAAGAAUAAGCACCGGCUAACUACGUG